GCGGCAGUAGCUCAGUAUUAGAGCCCCCGCUUGGCAUGCGGGGAGGCCUGGGUUCGAUCCCCGGCUGCUUCC
rnacentral:tRNA from 1 species